rnacentral:rRNA from 1 species
CGCCUCUUGAAUUUAUAUAAGAGGUCCAGCCUGCCCAGUGACCCUGUUCAACGGCCGCGGUAUCCUAACCGUGCGAAGGUAGCGUAAUCACUUGUUCUUUAAAUGAGGACUAGUAUGAACGGCAUCACGAAGGUUAUACUGUCUCCUUUUUCCAAUCAGUGAAUCUAAUCUCCCCGUGAAGAAGCGGGGAUAAAANUAUAAGACGAGAAGACCCUAUGGAGCUUAAAACAAUACAGCACUUGCUAAAAAAUUUAACAAUUCCAGAAUUUUUCAUUUUAUAAGCAACAUGACUGUAAGUUUUUGGUUGGGGUGACCACGGAGUAUAACACAACCUCCACGUUGAAAGAAUUUUAUUCUAAGCCAAAAAUUACAUUUUUAAGCAUCAAUAAAUUGACAUCUAUAGACCCAAUACUAUGGAACAACGAACCAAGUUACCCAAGGGAAAACAGCGCAAUCCACUUCAAGAGCUCCUAUCGACAAGCGGGUUUACGACCUCGAUGUUGGAUCAGGGUUUCCCAGUGGUGCAGCCGCUACUAAAGGUUCGUUUGUUCAACGAUUAAAACCCU